AUUGAACGCUGGCGGCAGGCCUAACACAUGCAAGUCGAACGAGUGGCGGACGGGUGAGUAAUGUCUGGGAAACUGCCUGAUGGAGGGGGAUAACUACUGGAAACUGUAGCUAAUACCGCAUACCAUCGGAUGUGCCCAGAUGGGAUUAGCUAGUGGGUGGGGUAACAGCUAACCUAGGCGACGAUCCCUAGCUGUGCUGAGAGGAUGACCGGCCACACUGGAACGGAGACACGGUCCAGACUACUACGGGAGGCAGCAGUGGGGAAUAUUGCACAAUGGGCGAAAGCCUGAUGCAGCCAUGCCGCGUGUGUGAAGAAGGCCUUCGGGUUGUAAAGCACUUUCAGCGAGGAGGCGUUACUCGCAGAAGAAGCACCGGCUAACUCCGUGCCAGCAGCCGCGGUAAUAC
rnacentral:rRNA from 1 species